GUACUUGCUUCGGCAAUACAUAUACUAAAAUUAGAACGACACAGGGAAGAUUGGCAUAACCCCUGCGCAGGAUGACACACAAAAUCGUGAAGCGUUCCACAUUUAA
rnacentral:snRNA from 1 species